rnacentral:rRNA from 1 species
UUUGACCUCAAAUCAGGUAGGAUUACCCG